rnacentral:lncRNA from 1 species
UUUUUUUUUUUUUUUUUUUACCGGAUGUUCAAUAUCCACUUACUUUAAAGUUUGAUUAAUUCAAAUUUAUAUCAGGAAAUUUUACUUUAUAGUAAAACGUUUCUUAUGAAAGAUAAUUUCAUAUCCAAUGUUAAUUAGGGGCAGAUCCAAAGUUUUACCUAUGCAUUUAAUAGGAAUUCAAUAAUUUCUUUCACUUAAUGGUUAUAAAUAUUUAUUUGUGAAUUCAAUUAAUAAUAUCGUAAAUUAGUUUGAGAUUACCGCGUAAACUUAUAAACUUCAAAUCUUUAUUUCGUGUCUGACAAAUAUAGAGUGAUACAAUUUUGGCUAGUCCAAAUAACUUUUGCUCAAAUAAUAUUUUAUUAAACAUGUACAUAUAUUGAAUUUAGAAGUUAGUUAUUCGUAUUUGAAGUUACAUUCUAAAAUCUAUAAUUCAUAAAGUUAAAAAUAUCAACUUCUUUUUCUUCCCAAAAAAAAAACUUGUUAACGAUAAAUCAAAGGAAUACAUAUCAACUCUAUUAUAAUUUUUAGUGGUACUAUUCCGACACACUAAUUUAUCCAUAUUUAAUAUUUACAUCAUAAAUAUAUCACAAGCUUGAAUAUUUUCACUUUUUUUCUAUCAUUUAAUCAUACAUAAUCACUUUUAAUUAAAUAAACUCAAGAUGUAGUUUAAAUUUAAUAAUAAUAUAUUGAGUAAAAUUUUACGAGGGGGUCAAAAUAUUUACCACACUUAUUCACAAUCUAUAUUCAUUAUAUUUCCUUUUCAAUAAUUUAAAUUUUAAAAAGUACAUUGAGAAUGACGGUUGUGAUAUUCAUAGCCUGUCUUUUGAAUUUGUCACUUCACCUCUUCUGUAAGAUCCGUAAAAUCUAUCAAAUAAAAAAAUAAAUAAUAUUUUUUUCUUUUCUAACAAAAAAUUAAAAAAAAAUCAUAAAAAAAAACUAUAGAAUUAUAAAAAAUAUAUAAAUGACCUACAAAACUAUUUCUCCUAUAAAAUUCAGAGUAAAAAAAUACAAAUUAAUCUCCAUACCAAACUUAUAAGUUAUAACCACAUGAUGAGUGUCUUUAAAUACACUCUUAUAACUAGUAUAAAUAAAUAUUUUAAUAUCAAUUUAUAAUUUAAUCAUGAUAAAUUAAUAUAAUUUGAUAUAAAUAUUUUGUGUAUAUUCUGAGCCGAAGGUAAAACAAUCACUUCAAUAGGUAGUGAUAAAAUUUGCGUAUAUUCUAUCUUUCUUAGAUUCCACUGAUGGAUUUUCAUUGAGUAUGUUAUUAUUAUUGUUGUUUGCGUAUAACUUUUACCUCAUAAAUAUAACUCCAUUCAUAAUCAUACGUUUCAUAUUCGAGCCAUAAGAUUGAUUCAUCACUGAAUAAAAAAAAAACUUCAUCCCAAAAUAUAACUUUUAAAUACCAUCAAGAGUUGCGAUGGAGGUAUUAUCCUCAAUCUUUAGUCAGAAGUUCUGAUUUAGAACUCGUGAGUUUGAGUCUCGAACAUGAAGUCGUCUUUGGUAAAAGUACUUUUUUCGAAAGUGAGAAUUUUUAGUAUAAUUUUAAUACGGAUACAGAACAUCGAAUAUGAAAUAAAUAAAAAAAUAUAAAAAAAGGAAUAAAAUAUUAACAAGAUUCCUAAAUCAGAUUUGUAAAAUUGUUUUUAAAAGUCUCAUCAGUCAAUCAUAUGGCAAAUGCAGUUUAUAGUUUUUCCGCCAAUCACCAUUUUUCUUCUUCUCUGACACUUCCCUGUGGGCGCCACCUUACGCCGCCGUUCGCCGCCGUGCUCCGCCAUGGACAGAACCUACGCUUCUCCGAGCUCCCAAAACCUUACGGCUAUAACAACUAAUUCUGUAGAUUUCGCUUCAUCUUCUUCUCCUUCUCCAACUUCCGUGUCGACCGGCAGUAGCCGCGCCGUGAAAAUCAUCCAGCUGGAGCAUCCGUCUGCUACGGCAUCGUCGUCGUCGGCGACGGCGUCUGCUUCGGCAUCUGUUGUAUCGAAAUGGAAGGCGAGGAUGAAGGGGAUGACGUGGAAAGAAUGGAUUGAGCUAUUUUUUCCUUGUUAUCGUUGGAUGCGAACGUAUAAAGUGCGUGAGUACUUGCAAUCUGAUCUCAUGGCUGGUAUCACAGUCGGUAUCAUGCUUGUUCCUCAGGUACAAUUUUUUUUUCAUUGUUUGUUAAAUUAUGAAUUGAAUUAGUCAUCUCUGUGACCGUAUGAGUCAUAUUUGUUCGAAUUCACGGUCAAAGUUUAGAACUUUGAAUCUCGAAAUUUCAAUUGCGCCAAAUAAAAUGAGACAGAGGUAGUAAUAGAAUUCAUAGGUUGAUAGUGCUGAGUUAAUCACUCUCUCAAUCCCAUUCUAUGGGACAAGGUCAAAGUUCUUCCAGCUUUUUGAAAUAAAGUUUACAGAUUUGCAAACUUGGUAAAGAGUAUUAUAAGUUGCAACAGUUAAUAAUUCAAUUUAUUUAAAAACAUUUAAAAAGUUGUAGUCAAAUGAAAAUUGUUUUACUUAGUGAUUACAGAGGGAGUACUAUUUUUAUUUUUUUUGGUUUUCUUGCUAUACACAUUGAAUCAAGCUUAUAAACUGUGGUGCAUGUACUGUGUCGGUUCCAGAGCGCACAUGUAUGCGUGUUAAGAGUAUUGAAGGAUCUCUUUUCCUAAAUAUACAUAUUAAGCAAUGGCACCAUUGCGUAUAAAUUCUAGAUCUGCCUCUAGUUAUAAGCUUACUGUUGAUGAUAGGUUGGAUAUCUGUGCAUUUCAUUUGUGUAAUUUAAUCGUUAGUCAGUUCAUACCUUUCUGUUUCCACUUCUCUUAAUUGUUUUCUUUUUCUCAACAAUUUUAUAGACCAAAGUCACAAUUUAAGAUAAUGGAGCUCUGGUUCCUCUUUUAACUUAUAUGAUUUGUAAACAGUAUAAUUGAUGAUGUGAUAGAACUAUAGACUGAAGGCCCUGCUGGGUUCACUUGUCCUCUUUAUUUGUUUUUGAUUGAGAAUGAGCAUGUGGAUACUAGAAUCUUUUAGACUAAUUGCUAAUAGCAAAAUGAUGAUUGGAUAAAAUGUCCUUAGUCCGCACUGUUAGUCUUUAGCAUUAUAUGAGCUAUCAUCUUAUGCUAGACUGCUUGUCAAGUGUGCUUUUUAUUGAGGCACUUUUGGUCUUUCAAUGAGAAUGAAUUAUAUACAUUUUCAUUUUAACUGUUUAUGUUAUGUUUACAGUCGAUGUCCUAUGCAAAGCUGGCAGGGCUUCAACCCAUAUAUGGACUUUGUAAGUACACCAUUGGAGCAUAAUUUACUUAUUUAGCAUUCUUUCUUCAUUUCAACAAAGUGAAGCAGAUACUCUUCUCGAUAUGUUGAUGAAGGCACCUUUGAAUACUAUGUCGAAAUGGAAAUAAAUCUCGAUUCAUAUAUUGAGCUCUGCAUUAAGUGCUGAGGUUAUUUUCCUUGUUUUGAAAUAAGAAGGCAUUUUUUUCUCCUCUUUGAAGCACUGUUUUCUUUCCUCCUUAAUUUAGCAUCCAUAGCUGAAGAAAAAAUCUAUGUGGAUUAAAAUCGCCAUGACCAUUCCAGAGUUUUUCGAAUGUCUAGUUGUUUAUGAACCUUUGUUUCCUAGCUAUGUUCAUUUGAUUCUUUAUAACUACGAAACCUAUCUUCUGCUUACUUAGUAAUCUUCACAAUUGUAGCUUUUCUUAAUUUGACCUUUGCUAAACAGAUUCUGGUUUCAUCCCUAUAUUUGUCUACACCAUAUUUGGGUCAUCUCGUCAGCUUGCAAUUGGUCCAGUUGCAUUGACGUCCCUUCUAGUCUCAAAUGUCUUGAGCAGCAUAGUUGAACCAUCAGACAAGUUAUACACAGAGCUCGCUAUACUAUUAGCACUUAUGGUUGGCAUCUUGGAAUGCAUAAUGGCGCUGUUACGGUAUUUCUUCUUUUAGCUUUGCUUCUUUCUUAUCAUAACUUUGAAAUAUCUAGAUUGUCAUACUCUCUUGUGGUCAAAGUGAGAAUCCAUGUCUAUCAUCUCUUAUACACACACAAAAGUUAUAGCUUCUAGGAGAAUUUGUUCACCAUUCCCCGGCUCUACUGAUUGAAACCAUUCAUAGCAAAGGGGAUUGUAACAUAGACCAUGCUUAAACACUGGGCUAGACCUUACUUCCUUAGAGGAAUAUGAUGCAAAUAUCGCCGUCCCUGUAAGACUUGGAAACUUGUUGCUUAGCAUUUAAAGAGUUGAUAUUGAUUGCUAAUAAUGUGCCUUUUGAUGUACGUUGGGCUCUAAUGAGUUCUGUACCCAUGGUUCUCUUAUGAGCUGGUUGAAAAUUCUGCAUAUUGGUUAUGUUUCUGACUGAAUUUGUUCAAAGUCUCAUUCCCAGUUUCAUUCCUCUGUAGGCUUGGAUGGAUCAUACGUUUCAUCAGCCACUCUGUGAUAUCUGGUUUUACAACCGCCUCCGCUUUUGUCAUUGCCUUGUCCCAAGCAAAGUAUUUCUUGGGCUAUGAAAUAGAACGGAGCAGCAAAAUUAUACCUCUAGUCGAAAGUAUAAUUUCUGGAGCAGAUAAGGUACUUCUCAGAAUUAAACAUUUGCAGGUUACUCCAUCUUUAUGCAUGCUAAGAGAAACUUAAAUGUGAGUAAUUUAGGUUGAAGUAUGCAGACUAGAUACUUGAUUUCUUUCUUUUGGGUGGUCGGCACACUAUUCACUGACGACCAGAACAUGCAUGAAACUAAAAUUUUCUCUGCAAUGUCAAAUAUAACUGUCUACUUGCUUUUAUGAUGAUUCAUGUCCUGCAAAACCUUAAUGUUGGGGUGGAUUUUUGUUUUUAGUCAAAGGUUUGUAUAAAUGGGUAAUAUUCUACAAUAUUGGUUUGGAGAGCUAUAUCUCUCAAUCAUGUAUAGACAAAGGACAUUCAUUGAAAGAACUAGUACAUGAAGGUAAUAUAAGUUAGGCAGUGGUAAGUGCUGAAUGUCGUCGAAGAGGAUUUUGAAUCAUUUUGUUGGAGACUUGGAAACUGCUUCAAAACAGGCAGUUGUAAGUCAACAAAAUUUCCUUAUUUCCUUUUCCAGAGUAGAUUUGAAAAAAGGCAAGAGAACUAUUAUGCAUUGUUUUAAGUCAUUCAGUUAAUUCUUUAUUUAAUCGCUACAAGAUAUUUUUCGUUGCUUCAACGACUAAUUCUAUUUUCUUUUGUAGUUCUCAUGGCCUCCUUUUAUUAUGGGCUCACUGAUGCUAGCUAUUCUUCUGACCAUGAAGCACCUGGUAGAAGCUUGCAACAUUUUCAUGUGUAUUAUAAACUUUUUUGUCGGUAAUAUGAAGGUUUCAUUUGCUUUAAAUGUUUUCUUCUCAGGGAAAAACAAGGAAGUACUUGCAGUUUCUGCGUGCAGCUGGUCCCCUCACAGCUGUUGUUCUGGGUACAGCUUUUGUGAAAAUCUAUCAUCCACCUUCAAUUUCGUUGGUGAGAACGAUAUGAAUUAAGCUCAACCUGAACUGCAGGAAUUGAGUUUAAGAUUAGCCUAAAAAAACAUUACAUGUGACCAAGUCUGAGAACACAGAAAUAACAACUUCAGUUACAUUUGCCACUUUUUUCCUCACAUGGGACUGAAAAGGAUAGUUGCAUAGAUUAAUUUUAACAUCUGACCUACAGGGUCAGCAAGUCCUACUCUGCAUGAUGUGAUUUGACAGAACUGUUAUCCCUAUAAUAAAGAUGUUUAUCCGAUGGUUUAGGUGGGAGAUAUACCUCAGGGGCUGCCAAAAUUUUCUGUACCAAAGCAAUUCGGUCAUGUAAAGUCUUUGAUCCCUACUACAGUUCUUAUUACUGGUGUGGCUAUCCUGGUAUGUAAGAAUUUAAGCAUUCACUGUCCGUCCUUUUCUAGACAAUCUGUUUGUGAUAGGUGAUACUAGUUACCAACAUUAUAGGAAUCAGUGGGGAUUGCUAAGGCACUGGCAGCAAAGAAUGGAUAUGAGUUGGAUUCAAAUCAGGAGGUGUGUGUCUUUCGAUUAUCUUCUCAAGAACUGCUAUUCACUUAUUUUCUAUGGACAAGUAUGAUUUAUCUAGUCUGUUGUGAGAUUGAGCAAGAUCUAUUGUUUAAUGUGUAUGAGUUAAGUGAUAUGUUUUCACCAAAUAUUUGUAAUUUGGAUAGUUUACAUUUUAAAUGUUCAUAUUUAGCACAUCUUACCUUUUCCUUUUCUCCCUUAAUUCCAUUGUUAGCUGAAUGUUUUUUAAAAGCUUCUGAUCAAACUCUAGUUCUUGACCAAUUUCACUCAAAUUGUAAGAAACAUUAUCUGGUUACUCAUUUCGUUCUCCUCCUUCUAUUGUCACUGUAUAACAACCACAAGAAGUCUCAUGCGAAAUCAGAACACUUUGUACUAAACUUGUUAUGGUUCUGUUAUUGUAACAGUUAUUUGGUCUUGGGGUGGCCAACAUUUGUGGGUCAUUCUUUUCAAUUUACCCUACAACAGGUGAGUUUGGAAUAUUAUAUGUGGCUUGAUCAAUUUCAUAUUUGUAUCUUUUCAAAAUUUCUCCCAGCUGGUUUCUGACAAAGCUCCUCUUUUCUAAUGCCAUGUUAGGGUCUUUUUCUAGGUCAGCUGUAAAUCAUGAAAGUGGAGCGAAAACGGGCUUAUCAGGGCUUGUGAUGGGAAUUAUAAUGGGUUGUGCACUAUUAUUCUUGACUCCUGUAUUUGAAUACAUACCUCAGGUAAAGGAAUUUGUUUGAAGGUGUAAAGUUUUCACCUGACUGUCGGUAACUAGAUUGCUUUCAACUGUCACAUCAUUUGGAGCAAUGUUUUCAGUCUCUUGGCCUCUAUCUUGGUUCCAAUUUGUAACGUAUGCUAUGGGAUAUAAUUAUCAUUAUGAUAAGGGAGGAUAACCUAUUGGGGGUUUGAGUCCAUAUGGAGCAAAAUGGGGAAACGACCACUAUUGAGCUCCUGUUCUCUUACUUUUUUUUUUUGUGGGGUAGGUGGGUGAGGGUGGAGUUCAGCAUGUCCAGAAAAAAGAGAGAUGUAAUCAUCUUUAUCUGUUUAUACCACUCAUAUUUAAGUGCAUUUCUGUAUCAAUGAUCUAGGAAGGUCGAAGGCAAUAAAAUAUGAAAAUAAAUACAUUUUUCAUAUUUCUAAGCUAAGAUUAAACAAAAAGAUGUUGGACACUGUAGAUCUUUCCAUUAUUGCAUGCUUGCAGUUUUGUGUUCAACAUUUGACAGUUUCCUGUCUUAGUUAUGAUAUUUUAAACUUUCCACUUCUCACUAUUUUUAUUUAUUUGUAUUGCUGUGGCAGUGUGCUUUGGCUGCGAUUGUGAUAGCUGCUGUAAUUGGACUGGUAUGGCCAUCUUCUACCCCAAAACGAUGUGUUCCAUUUUAUAUUUUCAAAGUUGCCAUUCUUUUGAAUGGACUUCUCUAUAUGCCAGAUAUAGCUUUUAGUUGAAGUUAACAACAUGAGCAGUUAACUAAAUACAUCAGCAACUACUCAAUCAUGCUUCAUUUGGGUUUAUCAUGUCAUAGUUCUCUGAUGUAUCUAGUUGGCUUGCUUGGAUUUUUGCAUUAUAUGUUUUGAAAGAUUGGUGUCAAAUACUGACCAGCAAGGGAAAAACAUCCUGCAUCCUUACCCUUUUUUUCACUUAAGGCUAAUUAGUAAGUGUUAUAGGAGCAUUUUCCAGUUCAUCGUUUGAUUGUCCUGACACUCUAUUGAUAUUUUCCCUGGGAAUUUUUGCUGUAUGAUCAGAUAAUAUCGAGUCAUACAGUAAUACAUGGAAGCUGAAGAGAAAGUAAUACUCUUUCGCUGUCAAGGAUCAUUUCAUUUGAGGAUUUGCAUUUAUAAUUUCCUGAACAGCUCUUAGUUAUCAGUUUCCUAUUUGUUUUAUAUGAUUCCUAUCCACUUCUUUGUUUAUUUCUAAUUACUUUCACUAAGCACACCACAUUCCUGUAAGAUAUUCACAACCUUGAAGCAUCAUGGAUGAAAUUCUUGUUUAGGUGCUGACUGUUUUAGGAUCAAGUAAGACCAUAUUAUGCAUUUCACUAUAAGCACAGAUAAAUGAACUUUAACUAAAGCAAAUAUCAUGUUCAGAUUGUAAAAUUAUAUUCUUAUUUCUAUUUUUCCUCAUUUCAGGUGGAUUAUGACGAGGCUAAAUUUUUGUGGCGUGUUGACAAGAAAGAUUUUCUGUUAUGGACUAUUACUUGCAUGACAACCUUGCUUCUAGGCAUAGAGAUUGGUGUCCUUGUUGGGGUUAGUAUCUAUCUAUAAUCAGAUGUAAAUAUAUUGAAAAUUAAAGUUUUUUCAUACACUAUAAACUGAGAACUAUCUUUUCUUGUUCAACCAACUGUUUGUUGCUACGAACUUGGCCUGCUUGCUAGUUACUUGAUUUUAUGGUGUUCAAAGUACAAUCACUUAGCAGGAAAUGCUUGAAGUUAAAUUCAUUGAUAAUUGAAUGUUAUGCAGUAUUUUCUUGAAGUCCAAUGCCUUCUUUAUUUUGAAAUUUCACAUAAUGGGAGUCAAAACAAAGACCUGUUGCUCCAAUUCUAUAACCAGAAAAAGAACCUGAUGAUAUGUAAUGAAGAUGUUAAUAGUUCCAAUAUACUGGCUGAUAACUUCUAUAUUGGAAAAAUAUAUUUAUGAUCUUAAGAAUAAACUCAGCUUGCCAACUUUUUUGGUCUCAUUUGUUCACAGGUUGGCGUGUCACUUGCUUUUGUUAUCCAUGAAUCAGCAAAUCCACAUAUUGGUAAGUUCCUGCAAUCGUCCCUACCUUGUAAUUGAAUCACUGACUUAGUUAAUCAUUGCCAGCACGAUUCUUAAGCUUUUCAUAACACUAUCCUGUAAUUGAAUCAUUGACUUCUUCAUGUUGCCAUUGCUAUUCUUUGGUGCCUCUCCGUGUCCUCUAAAUAUUCAGGUCAAUAUAAUGUUUUAUCUGGAUGCUUCUCUCACCCCUCUUUCAAAUUUUUCAUUUUCUUGGUGACACUUCAGUCCUUACAAGCAUUUCUCUUCCCCUAGUUGUUUACUGCAAAGUUUCAAGAUAAUUAAGUACUUGAUGUUUAAACGGCAGUGCUAAGUUCUGUUAUUUUUUUCCUUUAGGUCAAUGCCUUAUAAUUAAUGUAAUUUCUUAUGACAUGACUUGCUUUCAGCUGUCUUGGGGCGUCUUCCUGGAACUACUAUUUACAGAAAUACUCAACAAUACCCCGAAGCAUAUACAUAUAACGGUAUUGUGAUUGUUCGAAUUGAUGCACCUAUAUACUUUGCCAACACAAGUUACAUAAAGGACAGGUGAGAACACUGUCUUUUCGUUUUCUUUAUUUUUCCACAAGGACAACAAGUUUUCCCUUGAAUAUAGUAUUUCUGAAGCAUGGACUAAACUGUUAAGGUUCUAUUGCUUUCAGCAAAUUAUAUCCUACAUGUCACUGUGAAUCUCUUUUAUUUCUUGCACAGGUUACGGGAUUAUGAAAUUGAAAAAGAGGAAUCUAAAGGUCGGGGACCAGAAGUUUCAAGAAUUCAUUUUGUGAUCCUUGAGAUGGCCCGUAAGUCUCCAUGAGUUGGCACAACCUGAAUGACUAAAUGAUAUGAUGAAUUUACCAAUCCUAUUUCCUUUGCUAUGUUUUACUAGUGCUAAAGCUUCUUCUGUCUCAUACAGUUCUUCUAAUAUUUUCUGGUAUUUGAUAUGAAACUGAAAGGAAAGUAUAAUGCUUUAGGGGUUGAGCAUACUCUUAUCUGCCAUUUGUUUCAUUAUACUAAACACACUUCAUGUGUCUAUUCCAGCUGUUACGUAUAUAGACUCCAGUGCUGUUCAAGCUCUGAAAGAGCUCCAUCAGGAAUAUAAAUCGCGAGACAUUCAGGUUGAGAAUGUCUCUCUUUUGCUAAGACUGUACAAAUAUGCAUCCCAAAUUCUAUAUCCUAGAACUUACUUUCCAGCCUAACGAUACCAUGUGUUGUAUUGCAGCUAGCCAUUUCCAAUCCCAACCGCGAAGUGCUACUGACCCUAGCUAAAGCUGGUGUGAUUGAUCUGAUUGGCAAGGAGUGGUACUUUGUCCGAGUUCAUGAUGCAGUGCAAGUUUGUCUUCAGCAUGUUCAGCGGUUAACUGAAUUUCCAAAGGCACACGACUCUCUGGCAGAAAACAAACCAAGCUUGUUCCAGAGGCUACUCAAUCAAAGGAAAGACGAUUUUUUUCAACCUGAACUCGAAUCUGGUGUCCACGAAUCUCUUCUUUCCAAGGACACCAAUCCUCAACUCGAGCCACUCCUGUCAAAAAAGACAUGAUGAUGGAGACUGCUUCCAAGAUGUAUCAGUAUGUAUGUUAUAUAAUGUAUUCGAUUUUUUUCCGACUUUGGUUUGAUUGAUUGAUUGACUGUAAUUAGCUUACCUUUCUAUUUGAACAGAGAGAGAGAGAGAGAGAGAGAGUUAUUUAUCAUAUGUUAUUAGUAUCUUUUUCCUGGCUGAUAUGCAUUCUUCCCAAGUUUGUAAUCAGAUGCCAGUGCAAAUUUUCUGUACAUCACAGUGGAAAUAAAAGAAAAGCAUAUUGUUGAUAUCAUUUCAAUUUGCAUUGCAAACCUUAAUAUUGUACAAUUGUAGGAGUGUGUUCGAUAUGGAGGAAAUAUUUUUCAAUUUUUCCAUGAUUGGUUAGUCAAAUUUGUUUUAAAAAAUAUUUCUCUAGGAAAGCAAGUUCAUGAUACGAGGAAAGUGACUUCCUUGAUGAAAGUAAGGAAAAAAAAAACCAUAACUAACAUCCAAACCCUCCACACCAUCCGUCUCCACCCCCACACCUCGUAAUUAUUUAUCAAACACUAGAAGUGUUAUUGUAAAAAUACUAUUUUUGAAAGAUAAAUUUCCGCUACUACUCAAAAGCAAACAACAUACCUAGUGUGAUCCUUCCCACAAGUGAGGUCUUAGGAGAGUGGUAUGUACACAAACUUUACCCCUCCUAUCUUUGUGGGGGUAGAAUGGUUAUUUUCGAAAGAUAACUACUUGAAAUCACUUAUAGUUAAACACAACCAAAAUAAAGCGAGGAAAUAACUAUAAGAAUAAAACCGAUUAACUCGCUUUCACUAACUAAGAUUUACAACUCACUAUCCAUCCCACAUCGAAGGUUGCAAUAUUAUGAGUGAUAUUUGAGUAUUAUAAAUAAUAGAAAGUAUGAAGAUAUAAAAUUGCCUUAAACUAAUGAGUAAGGAAAACAAAGCGGGCGGUGAGAGCCGGCCGCAGCGCUUAUCAAUUAACACUUCGGUGUCUAAUUUGGCGCAAGAAUUUAUGGAGGGGUUAUAGGCUGGCCAAGUGUUGACGCUGCCUACUUUGCAGAACUCACUUGUGCGGGCCUCCCAACACCCACCCCCAAUACCUAGUCUUAAGUCUUUUUAUUUUAUUUCACUGAUACUAUAUUAAAAUAUGAACCACCAAGUUAUUAAGGUUGUGGAUAUGGUUUAGAAUGAUGUGGUGAGCUUCAACAAGAGUAGAUGUGGUCGAAAAAGUGUACGAGUUAAUUAGAGAGAAUAUGAUGAACUAAGUCAUUAAGGUUGUGGAUUAAGGUUGUGGAUUAGGAUGAAAGGUUAAUUAUAGUAUCUAGUCUAGUGAGAUAGGUUGGUUUAGUCAUUAAGGUUGUGGAUUAGGAUGAUAGGUUAUUAUAGUAUCUUGUCUAGUGAGAUAGGUUGGUUUAGUCAUUAAGGUUGUGGAUUAGGAUAGUAUAGUAUCUUUUCUAGUGAGAUAGGUUGGUUUAGUCAUUAAGGUUGUGGAUUAGGAUAGUAUAGUAUCUUGUCUAGUAAGAUAGGUUGGUUUAGUCAUUAAGGUUGUGGAUUAGGAUAGUAUAAUAUCUUGUCUAGUGAGAUAGGUUUAGACCGAUGUGGGAGGUUGUGGAUUAGGAUGAUAGGUUAGUAUAGUAUCUUGUCUAGUGAGAUAGGUUUAGACCGAUGUGGUGAGCUUCAAGAGGAGUAGAUGUGGUUGAAAAAACAUAUGAGUUAAUUAAGAUGGGAUGUGGUGAGCUUCAAGAGGAGUAGAUGUGGUCGAAAAAGCAUAUGAGUUAAUUAAGAUGGAAUAUGAUGCGUAUCUUUGUCUAAGUGAGAUAGGCUUAGACCGAUGUGGUGAGCUUCAAGAGGAGUAGAUGUGGUCGAAAAAACCUCUUUGAGGGUUAAUUAGAUAAGAAUAUGAUACACCUUCAACUAAUGAAAGACAUGAAUUUAGAUAAGAAAUUAUAAGAUUGUGGAUUAGGAUGAUAGGUUAGUAGGUAGUUCAGUAUCAUUUUGUGGCCUAGUGAGAUAGGUUUAUAUCGAUGUGGUGAGCUUCAGGAGGAGUAGAUGUGGUCGAAAAAGCAUAUUUGAGAGUUAAUUAGACAGAAUAUGAUGCACCUCCAACUAACUAAAAGACAUGAAUUUAGAUAAAAAGUUAUUAAGGUUGUGGAUUAGGUUAGCAGGUAGUUCAGUAUCAUCUGUUGUCCAGUGAGAUAGGUUUCUCCUUUGCAUACUAGUAGUAUUAACACUAUUCUUGUAAUUUUUGAUCCCUCGAUUUAUGCUACUACUUAUUUUUAUAGUGCUUAUUCGGUUAUCGUUUUAUUUUAUUGUGGAUAUUGUUUCUUCUGUAUGUUUUGGAAUUUAUCCUCUAUUGUUUGCGAUGUCUUCAUUACUUUUGUUUUAAAUAUGCUUUGAUAUGCAUAAUUUGAUUCGAGGAUCUUUCAGAAACAGUUUCUCUAACCUCCACAAGACAAAAUACUAAAAUUUGCAUACAUUCUAUCUUUCUCCAUAUCCCGAUUCUAUAAAAUUACAGUAAAUGAACAUGUUGAAGAAUCUUCUCGUGUCAAAAGUAAUUCCACAGUUAAAUAUAUUUAUAACAACAAAACAAAAAAGUUAUUUCAUCCUAUUCAUAUAGUUUUCAAUCAAGCGGAUGCAAUUAAAUUUAUUUGGCUAUAGCUCCGCCCCUGUGUCAAAUCUAUGUCUCUUGCUUCAGUAGGAUGGAGGUACCGUUCCCACGUGAACGGAGUUGUCCCAUUGACAACUCAAUUUGGACAUCUUUAUUUCAUGUGAAGUUAAAAAUGAUAGAAGUAAUACACAUUAAUUUUCCGGCUUCGUAGCAUGUUGUCGGUCUUAUUUUUGUAUUAUUUAAAUGCCACAUUUUUAUUUUUACGUAAUUGAUAAUAUUAUUGUUAUGUGAUUAGAAAAUUAAUUACGAGUUUGAUAUGUGGAAACAAUCUCUUGUAAAAAUGUUGUGUAUAAUAAAUCUUUAUAGUCUGAUCUUUUUCCGAAAUUCAACAACAACACCAACAUAUCUAGUGAAAUUUCACUAAGUGGGUUUGGGGAGGAUAUAGUGUACGCAAACAUUAUCACUAUCUCAGGGAUGUAGAGAGACUGUUUCUGAAAGACCCUCGACUCAAGUAAAUUAAACCCAAGGAAAGAAAGAAGAAAACAAUGGAUAAAACAAUCGUUAAUAAGAAAAACAGUGUAAAGUUUGCAAGAAAGAGACAACAACAACAGUAAAAUAGUGUAAUAAUCGAACCAUAAUAAACAACAUAAUGACUAGAACUACAAGGAUACGACUAGUACUACGACAGACACUAACAAUCCUAAAUCUUUACAAGACAAGACAACACUCCCACCUCUACUAAUUUUCUACCCUAAUACGCGAACUUCACAUAACAAAGCUUAAUACAUCGAACGUAUCAACUUUUGGACUAUUUGUCUAUAGAUGGACAAAAUUAUCAAGUGGAGGCUGCUGGCUAUGAAAAUAAUCCUAUAAAGACAAAAAAAUGGUCAUUCACAAAUCUCCUCUAAUCCUCUCUCCACCAAUUAUCAUUUAUCUAUCACGUGGGAUUCUUGGCCCUACAAAAUACUAUAUUUCUCUUUUGGUACACUAUAUAAUAUAAUUCAUAUUUUAUCAUAAUAUUAUAUCAUACAAUAUAAUAUAAUUCUUGUGCAUUUGAUCUCUCAUAUAAUAUUUUCUUCAACUUGCUUUUUGUGAAGAUCAGAUACUAAACUUAUCAUGGGGGAUUCCCCUGCUUCUUACAUAUACAUGGUAACUAAAAGAUUCAUAUUUUUGAUUUUUUUUCUAAUCGUGGUGUUUAGAUUAGUUUGCGUGCAUCUUGAUUAAUUUUAUAUAGUAUUUGCUAUUUUCCAUCCAUAUAUGUAUCGAAUAACUCUGUCAACUAAAAUUUGGACGAAUAGAAAAAAUCCACCUAUUCAUCAUGAUACUUCAAUGAACUAGCAAGGGUUCUUUUUUUGUUUUCCUUCUUUUGAUUCUAUAUUAGAAAGGGUGAUAUAUGGUAAAGCAACGAUAAAGUUGUCUUUAUAUGACAUAUAGGUUAUGACUUAUGAGUUCAAGCUGUGGAAUUAGCUAUCGAUGGUUGCAUCAGGUUAGGUUGCCUACAACACAUACCCUUGGGUGCAACCCUUCCUUGACCCUUCAUGUACGUAGGAUACUUCGUCCACCAGACUCACACACCCUUGGGUGCAACCCAUCCUUGACCCUUCAUGAACGCAGGAUGCUUCGUCCACCAGACUGUCCUUUUUUCUUGAUUUUGUAUUUGAAAGGGAGUCUUGGAGCACAGUAAAUUGUCUCCAUGUCACCAUGUGAGUUAUGACCUAUAGGUCGUGGAUCACGGAUUCGAGCUGUGGAAUUAGUCACUAAUAGUUAUAUUAAGAUAGGCUUCCUACAUCACAACCUCUUAAGGUGCGGCCAUUUUUUGACCUCUUAUAAACGUGAAACGCUUCGUGCAUCGAACAAAGGGACAACCUUUAUUCUUGAUUUUGUAUUUGAAAAUUUGGGAACUUAUCUUUUUGGAUUAUUUUCUUGUUUUUUGUUUUUAUUAUGUACUAACCUAGUUGUCCUUGAUGUUAGGUGCAGCAUCUGAUAGAAAAGUGUCUAAUUUUUCACAUGACUAAAGAGGAAUGCAUAGAGGCCCUUUCCAAGCAUGCAAAUAUCAAAUCUGUCAUCACUGUUACUGGUUAGUGUUGUAAUAUUUCAUCGAAUUUAACUUAUAUAUAACGACAAUGUUCAAUUUUUCUAAUAUAUUUUAACUUGUUAUAACAAAGCAACCAGCAUUACUUUUAAAAACUUACUAAUCCCACUUAUUAUAGACGUUAUAGUGUUUCUCGAUAACCUGAUAGUAUAUUAAAAGUUAACAGAUGAAUAUUAACUUAUUCACUGCUCAUAAUGAUGAUUGCUAAUAUGCACAAUAUUAUUUUCCGAUGAAGAAUGUUCAACUGACAAUCUUAGCUACACCAUUGCUAAUAUGUCAUUUCUUGUAUACCUAACAGAUCAUUGUGAUACUUAUUUGUAUUUUUCAGUGUGGAAUGAGUUAGAGAAAGAGAACAGGGAGUUCUUCGAGGCAUACGCUAAAUCACAUAAUAAAAAUCGCGCAAUAGAGGCAAAGGCAGAGGUAGAGGCAGAGGUAGAAGCAAGUACAAUGAUUCAGAAAUUGUUAUUGGAUCAUGAUCAUACUAAAAAAUCAGACAGGGAAUAACAAAUAAUCGUGUUGUUGAUUGUAACGUUGAAAAAAAUUAUGUUCAAACAAGCAAGUAUGUCAUGGUUCGAGGAGCCUAUGUGUCGUGUAUAGACCUAAAAAACUUCAACAGUUUGUGUAGCCAUAAAUCCUAUUGUAUUCAUUAAUAUUCGUUAAAUGGUGCGAAGCUCAAAAGGCAAGUGGUAAUUGAAGUACUAAUACUAUAUGUCUCUAAAAAAUGUCAUUAGGUGUGUGUUGAAUCCUCUAAAAGUAGUACAACUUUCAAGGAUCUGACAUGGAUGCGACAACAUUUUAGAGAGUGUUAGCACAUAGCUAGACAAUAGUACUAUGUGGUACCUUAUUGAAAUGUUCACUAUACUAAUAUAUGCUAAUUCAAUCAUGGCCCUGUUGGUAUCUUUUGUGUCCUCUGUGAGGUGUUGCCUAGUGAAUUUGGGCCUCUAGCUGUCUUGUUUUGUUGUAACAUAGAGUUCAUGUGACAUGUGAUUUUCUUGUUAUUUAGCUAAUGGAGUGUCAACAUAGUGGGGGCUACUUUGUUCAUUUUCACAUCUCAAUCAUGCACCUUUUCCUUCGGAAACAACCUCUCUACCUUCACAUGAUAGAUUAAGGUCCAUAUUCACCUGAAAUUUCAUUGAAUAUGUUGUUGUUGUUAAUCAUGCACCUUUUGGAAUAUGAACUUUAUAGUGAAUGUGAUUCUGUAUUGUGAAAAUUCGGGUUUGGAAAAGUCCUUGCGUUAUUCCCACUCUUUGAUAACUACGUACUAAGACGCUUCAAAAGAACUAUGUUCACUACUUGCAUUCACCUUAAGGGCUAAUCCAACCUAACCCAAGAUUAUUAUUGGCAAAGUUAAAUGAAACGAUAUGAUCAAUAAUGAUUCAUAUCGUCUAACCAACUAGUUUGGAAUUAAGGUGUAAAAUUGUCAUUAUAACUUAUAGUAAAUGUGAUGAAUUUUUUGUCUUUUUCUGGUUAAAACGUCUUUGGAGCUCAUGGUAAGAUAGGGGACCCAAAUGGGGUGGUGGGGUAAUUUUUUCACUUCACACUUAUCUUGAGAGAUUAAUUUUUUUUUAAUCAACGAGGUGUAGCUUAACGAUCAAUGAAAAGGAUGACUCGAGAAAAUACUCGAGGUGAGUGCAAACUGACAUGAACACUAUUAAACAAGUGGAAAAGCUUCUCUAAUUUGAAACUUUUCUACACACUACACUAUGCAUGCCCUUUAUUCUUUUCUCCCUCUUUUUAACGAUCAAAAACACACCUAAACUCAAUACUUUUUUGCAAAUUUCACACCUUAACUAUCAGUUGUUUCUUUUUUCUACCUGAAAAAACUAUCACUAUCUAAGUAGUUGAUGUGUGAAAAUUGCAAAAAAGUGAUUGUUCCGAUGUGUUUUUUUACCAUUAUUUCUAAAAUAAAAUAAAGGAGUGUCAAUAUAACAUCCCUUCUGGCAAUUCUGUAUGGCAAAAACUGAAGCAAAAGAUCAACAACCAACACCUUACAUUAACUAAUAAAAGUUUCAGAACAUUACUCGUUUAUUAGACACAAACAGUACAAGGAUUGAUCAAUCCACAGACCAACGAUGAACGUUUUUAUUUAGAUCAUACUAUAUAGAUCACGUUCAUAAUGCUGCACCCAUCGAACUGCUAACUACCCGAGACAAAACACGAUUACAGUUUCGAGUCAGUUCAUGCGUUAAACCUUUGGAGCCCACCCUGCGAUGACAUACUUUUCUUCAGCCUUGGUUUUCUGGAACGACUCUCGCUCGAAGAGCAGCUGUAGAAGGAGAACAUAAAGGCGUCAACUUUUGUGCCACUUUUGCUGUUGUUUCAAAGAAUUGGAAGAUAUGAUAUCUUUGGCACAAGCAAAGGCAUGGACAUAGGGAACCGAAAGAAUAUGCAAUCGUAACAUCAGAAGCUAAACAUGAAAAACUUGGUUGUCUUCAUAAAAGAAAUGCCUCUGGGUGUGUGUGGAUCCUCUAAAUGUAGUGUAUUUUUGGAGAAUCCGACACCAGUGCAGCAACAAAUCAACAUAUGAAGAAGCAACUGAUCAACAAAUGUCAAGUUCCAUACCAUACUCAAAAAAUUUACAUUUCUCGGUCCUUUUAUGCGAGAAGAUUUAAUGAGGCAAGGACAGUGAAAAGUCAAGUUGAUUCAUACAAUAUACUAGUAGUUUAAGAAGAAGAAUAUAAAAGGUAGCUGCCGAAAGCUACCUUUGGUAUGGAAAAUCAUCACAUCUAGUAUUAGGUUCGAACCAUCAAAUGAAUUUGAAUCAUUACAACUGUGACAACUAUAUAUAUAUAAUGUGGUUAUUCUUUUAAAUUCUAAUCAUCAGAGUUUGAAUUUUAGAGACACACCGAUAAGACAUAAACAAACUACUCCAGCACAAAGAAUGUGCUCAACACCCACAGACAAAGCAGAUACUGACCAUGCACGCACACAAGGACACAGAGAGAAACAGAGUGCAUACCUUCAUGUAAUUACGCACGUGACUCAAGCUUUCAGGCACACUCCACUUCUUGAAGUGUCCAAGAGCCACCUCGAGAUGGUACAGUUUUGGAGCCAAGCUCAUAUCAACUGAACAAACAUUCUGCCCAUUGGCAUAUGGUCCCUGAUGAAAUUCACAGAGCCAAUAGAAGUUAAGAUCAUGGUAAAAAUGAGAGACGCAUACUUUAAGUUAAACAUAUCAGACAGUUCAAUGUAAAACAGCAUACAUGAGCCUUGAGAUGCUCUUCCAAAGCCUUUAGUUCAUCAAGGAGAGCCUGCUCAGUACCGUCACUAGAAUCCUUGCUCUUCAGAAACGAGACGAAGGUAGGAAAUAAUUUUGAGCCCCUGCAAUCCCAAACAAGUUACAGAUGAUAUUCCACCCGCCAACAUCAAUAAAAUAAAAAUCAAACUGCAACAGAUGCUAGCUUAUUACCAUGAUGAAUCAUACAAACACAUUAUAGAGACACUCAUCUAAAAGGAAACACUGGAUAGAUAAACUAAAUAAUUACUAUGUUCCAUACUGAAUGUCCAUUUUGACUUGGCAUAUUAAGAGAUGAGAAUCUAAAGGUGAAACAUAUGAAGCACAAUGGUAACCUUUUUGCUUCUCCAAACAAGUAAGAGAAAUGUGGUAUUCAGUAAUGGAAGAUUAAAAUACAAGAGGUGGUGUUUGGUUUAAAAGUUCGAAAAAGAGUUUCCGCAGAACUACCUUUAGAUUGUUAUAAGAACUGUUUUCAACCAAAUUGUAAUUAUAACUUAUAGUAAAUGCGAUGAAUUUUUUGUCUCUUUCUGGUUAAAACGUCUUUAGAGCUCAUGGUAAGAUAGGGGACACAAAUGGGGUGGUGGGGUAAUUUUUUCACUUCACACUUAUCUCGAGAGAUUAAUUUUUUUUUUAAUCAACGAGGUAGGGCUUAACGAUCAAUGAAAAGGAUGACUCGAGAAAAUACUCGAGGUGAGUGCAAACUGACAUGAACACUAUUAAACAAGUGGAAAAGCUUCUCUAAUUUGAAACUUUUUUACACACUACACUAUGCAUGUCCUUUAUUCUUUUCUCCCUCUUUUUAACGAUCAAAAACACGCCUAAACUCAUACUUUUCUGCAAAUUUCACACCUUAACUAUCAGUUAUUUCUUUUUUCUACCUGAACGAACCAUCACUAAGUAGUUGAUGUGUGAAAUUUGCAAUAAAGUGAUAGUUCCGAUGCGUUUUUUUACCAUUAUUUCUAAAAUAAAAUGAAGGAAUGUCAAUAUAACAUCCCUUCAGCAGACUUUAACUAUAUCUAUCUAGCAAUUCUGUAUAGCAAAAACUGAAGUAAAAGAUCAACAACCAACACCUUACAUUAACUAAUAAAAGUUUCAGAACAUAACUCAUUUAUUAGACACAAACAGUACAAGGAUUGAUCGAUCCACAGACCAACGAUGAACGUUUUUAUUUAGAUCAUACUAUAUAGAUCACGUUCAUAAUGCUGCACCCAUCGAACUGCUAACUACCCGAGACACAACACGAUUACAGUUUCGAGUCAGUUCAUGCGUUAAACCUUUGGAGCCCACCCUGCGAUGACGUACUUUUCUUCAGCCUUGGUAUUCUGGAACGACUCUCGCUCGAAGAGCAGCUGUAGAAGGAGAACAUAAAGGUGUCAACUUUUGUGCCACUUUUGCUGUUGUUUCAAAGAAUUGGAAGAUAUGAUAUCUUUGGCACAAGCAAAGGCAUGGACAUAGAGAACCGAAAGAAUAUGCAAUUGUAACAUCAGAAGCUAAACAUGAAAAACUUGGUUGUCUUCAUAAAAGAAAUGCCUCUGGGUGUGUGUGGAUCCUCCAAAAGUAGUGUAUUUUUGGAGAAUCCGACACCAGUGCAGCAACAAAUCAACAUAUGAAGAAGCAACUGAUCAACAAAUGUCAAGUUCCAUACCAUACUCAAAAAAUUUACAUUUCUCGGUCCUUUUAUGCGAGAAGGUUUAAUGAGGCAAGGACAGUGAAAAGUCAAGUUGAUUCAUACAUUAUACUAGUAGUUUAAGAAGAAAAAUAUAAAAGGUAGCUGCCGAAAGCUACUUUUGGUAUGGAAAAUCCUCACAUCUAGUAUUAGGUUCGAACCAUCAAAUGAAUUUGAAUCAUUAUAACUGUGACAACUAUAUAUAUAUAAUGUGGUUAUUCUUUUAAAUUCUAAUCAUCAGAGUUUGAAUUUUAGAGACACACCGAUAAGACAUAAACAAACUACUCCAGCACAAAGAAUGUGCUCAACACCCACAGACAAAGCAGAUACCGACCAUGCAUGCACACAAGGACACAGAGAGAAACAGAGUGCAUACCUUCAUGUAAUUACGCACGUGACUCAAGCUUUCAGGCACACUCCACUUCUUGAAGUGUCCAAGAGCCACCUCGAGAUGGUACAGUUUUGGAGCCAAGCUCAUAUCAACUGAACAAACAUUCUGCCCAUUGGCAUAUGGUCCCUGAUGAAAUUCACAGAGCCAAUAGAAGUUAAGAUCAUGGUAAAAAUGAGAGACGCAUACUUUAAGUUAAACAUAUCAGACAGUUCAAUGUAAAACAGCAUACAUGAGCCUUGAGAUGCUCUUCCAAAGCCUUUAGUUCAUCAAGGAGAGCCUGCUCAGUACCGUCACUAGAAUCCUUGCUCUUCAGAAACGAGACGAAGGUAGGAAAUAAUUUUGAGCCCCUGCAAUCCCAAACAAGUUACAGAUGAUAUUCCACCCGCCAACAUCAAUAAAAUAAAAAUCAAACUGCAACAGCUGCUAGCUUAUUACCAUGAUGAAUCAUACAAACACAUUAUAGAGACACUCAUCUAAAAGGAAACACUGGAUAGAUAAACUAAAUAAUUACUAUGUUCUAUAUUGAAUGUCCAAUUUGACUUGCAUAUUAAGAGGUGAGAAUCUAAAGGUGAAACAUAUGAAGCACAAUGGUAGCCUUUUUGCUUCUCCAAACAAGUAAGAGAAAUGUUGUAUUCAGCAACGGAAGAUUAAAAUACAAGAGGUGGUGUUUGGUGCAAAAGUUCAAAAAAGAGUUUCCGCAGAACUACCUUUAGAUUGUUAUUAGAACUGUUUUCAACCAAAUGCCAAGAAAGACAAAGAUUUUCUUCAGAAUUUUAAACCAAAUCUCACCUAAGACAUUUGAGAUAUAAGAUUAAAUCAAAAUAUGUGAAUUCAAUUUGGAACACAGGAAGUAAAGUGUUUUUGCUUGAUCUAAAGAAACUCAAGCCACAAAAGUGAAGAGAACUAUCACAAAACUUCAUUUAAAUGUAGCUUGCAGAAACCUAAGACGAAUUCACAAAUCACUUCCCUCCAAGGAAUAAAGAACAAAAGGUUGGGGAAGUACAACAAAGAAACCUUUCCACGGAAUUUUGAAGGAAAAAUGCCAUGUUAAAGUAAUUGGAAAUAGCAACUCUGUAAAACGCUUCCACUUUUGAUUUCUAUAAGGAGUUCAAGCCAAAGAAAGCGUUAAAAAUGUAUCUUGCUUCUUUUAUUUUAAUAACUUUUGCUACAUACAACAUGAAGUUCCAACUUAUAAGUAUAUUCAUUACCCAAAACACUAAAAUCUAAAGCAAAUACCGAGAUGCAGCCAAUAAAACAUCCAGAGAAAUUAAGCACCCAAGGGUGUGGCCUAGUGGUCAAUGAAGUAGGUUGAGAACCAUGACGUCACAGGUUUAAAUCUCAGCAGAGACAAAAACACUAGAUGAUUUCUUCCCACCUGUCCUUGUCCAGGUUGCUGGUGGGUGGUGGCUGGUAUCCAGUGCACUUAGUCGAGGUCUAGAGAAAUGUGGCCAAUACAGAAAGUUAUUAAACACAUGGAGAAAGUAGGGAAGAAAACAUACACAGAGGCAAAUUCAGGGGGAGCAAUGAGAGAGGGAUUUGGGUAUUUCUCUUCAAUAAUCCCAACAAUGACAUCAGAAUCCGGGAUCCAUUUGUCACCAAAAUUGAUCACGGGAACUUUCCCUUCCGGGUUCACCUCCAAGAACCUAAAAUCACAACCCCAAAACAAAAUUUUCAGUUUCGGAAUGAAAAAAAUGUUACCUUUGGGACAAAAAGAAAGUACUUUUUUCUUCAGAUUUACCAUUUGGGCUUGUCACUAACAUUGAUCAAGUGCUUCUUGUAAGUCACUUUCUUUUCCUCCAAUGUCAGAAGUACCCUUUGGCUAAAUGGACCUUAAUAUCACAAAACCAUCAAAAAUUCAGAAAAAUUGAAACCAAACCCAUGAAAAAUUGCAAAACACUCUCAAACAUACAAACUAAAACAAUGGUAUAUGUAUUAAGAGAGGAAGAUUACAGUCUCAGAAGUACCCCUUUGGCUAAAUGGACCUUAGAAUAAAUAAACCACCACUAAUUAAGAAAAAAUGAAACCAAACCCAUGAAACAUGCCCAAAACUAACAACUAACACACACACACAUAAACUAAAACAAUGGUAUAAAUCUUAGAGAGUAAGAGAUUACAUUCUCAGAAAUACCCUUAAACUUAUUGGACCAUAGAUCAAUAAACCAUCACAAAUUCAGAAAAAUUCAAACCACCCAUGAAAAUUUGCCCCAAAAAACAACACACACACAAAAACAAAGGUAUAAAUCUCAGUGAGCAAGAAAUUUACAAUCUUUAGAAGUACCCUUUAGCUAAAUGUACCUCAAAAUCAAGAAACCAUCACAAAUUCAGAAAAAGCCACAUAGAAAUUUUCCCCAAAAAACAAAGAUAUAAAUCUUUGAGAGUGAGAAAUUUAUAGUCUUUAGAAGUACCCUUUAGCUAAAUUUACCUCAAAAUCAAGAAUCCAUCACAAAUUCAGAAAAUUCCAAACCAACCCAUGAAAAUUUACCCCAAAAACAACACAGAUACACAAAAGCAAAGGUGUAACUCAUAGUGAGCAAGGAAUUUACAGUCUUUAUAGAUACCCUUUAGCUAAAUGUUCCUCAAAAUCAAGAAACCAUCACAAACUCAGAAAAAUCCAAACCAACCCAUGAAAAUUUACCCAAAAAACAUACAGACACACAAAAACAAAGGUAUAAAUCUUAGUGAGCAAGAAAUUUACUGUCUUUGUAAAUACCCUUUAUCUAAAUGUACCUUAAAAUCAAGAAACCACCACAAACUCAGAAAAAUUCAAACCAACUCAUGAAAAUUUGCCCCAAAAACAGAGACACAAAAACAAAGGUAUAAAUCUUAAUGAGCAAGAAACUUACAGUCUCUAUAGAUACCCUUUAUCUAAAUGUACCUCAAAAUCAAGCAAAUUCAGAAAAAUCCAAACCGACCCAUGAAAAUUUGCCCCAAAAACAACAGAGACACGCAAAAACAAGGUAUAAAUCUUAGUGAGCCAGAAAUUUACAGUCUUUAUACAUACCCUUUAUCUAAACUCACCUCAAAAUCAAGAAACCAUCACAAAUUCAGAAAAAUUCAGACCACCCCAUGAAAAUUUACCACAAAAACAACACACACAAAAGGGUAUGCAUAUAUCUCAAAGGGGGUUAGAAAUUACAGUCUCCAAGAACAUCAGGGGCACCCACAGCAGCCUUGACACAAACUUCAACAGCCAUGAUUGAUAAACAGCAACCUCACUAGAGAAUUCUGAAGAAGAUGACUCACAAAUGAGUGUGUUAUCUGUCUGUGGGGAGUGUACAAUAAUAGUGUCCUACUUAAAAGCAUUUUUCAGAGAGCAUUUUUCACAUGUCCAAUUCUCUAUGUUUACCAAAGGGCAAAGGGUCAAAAAUAUCCCUCAACUUUGGUUUAUUAUUUGACUUUAUUCUCGCCGUUAAAAUGAAGUUAAUUUUAUCCCUUUCGUUACUAAUUUCACCAAAUAUACCCCUCAUUAGAUGGAAUCCCAAAAAAUUGACCCAAAUUUUAUAAAAAAAAACCUUAUUCCCUAUUUUGACCCAAUGACCCGACCCCAUUUAGAAUAACCCGAUUAAUCCUAUUUUACCCAUUAUCCCAAAUUUUCUUUACCCAUUUACCCAUUUUCUCUUUGAAUAGAUAAUCUCAUUUUCUUCCAAAUUUUCCAUUGUUCUUCCUGCAUCUAUCUUUCGUUCACUUCUGAUUUUUCUUCUUAGAAAAUGUCACAAAAUAGUUAUUCGUCUCAAAAUGUGCUUGAGCUAAUUUACGAAUUUCUAAUAUUUAAUAUUAUUUUCCCAAAAUGUCACAAAAUAGUUAUUCGUCUAAAAAAAAAUGUGCUUGAGCUAAUUUAUGAAUUUCUAAUAUUUAACAUUAUUUUCCCAUUAAUUAAAAAAAAGUGCUUAUUAAACAUAAAACGUAGAGAAGCCGCCGUUUAGCUUCACUACAAAACCUUCUUCCCUUUUGCUCUUCUCCAUUAGCUCCGCCGCCGAGAUCCUCUGCACUACACUUUCUAUGGGGAGAAAACGAAACUUGAGCGAAUAUGGUGGUAGGGAAGACGAAGAAGAGAAGCAGAUGAAAGAGAGAAGGGUGAAAGAGAAGCAGGAGGGAAGAGAAAGCAUGCGGCCUUCAAUGAUUAAGAACAAGGAGAAAAGAGCAGCUGUACAUGCUAAGUUGAAGCAGCAGAAAAAGGUUGAGAAGCGGAAGAAGGUUAAAGCUCGUGAAGCUGCUGAGAAAAAAAGGCACUUGUGCCAGGGGAGGAGGUAAAGCCUCUGCUGAAAUUUACAUUUUUUAUGGAUUUGGGGUUUAGGGUUUUUACGGUAAAUGGGUAAAGGAAAUUUGGGUGGGUUAAAUAGGGUUAACCAGGAUAUUCUAAAUGGGGUCGGGUUAUUGGGUUAAAAUAGGGAAUAAGGUUUUUUUUUAAAAAAAUCGGGUCAAUUUUGGGGAUUCCGUCUAAUGAGGGGUAUAUUUGGUGAAAUUAGUAACGGGAGGGUUAAAAUUAACUUCAUUUUAACGGUGAGUUUAAAGUCAAACAAUAAACCAAAGUUGAGAGGUAUUUUUGACCCUUUGCCCUUUACAAAAUUGUGUUUAGGUGGUGUUUUUCAAAUUUUCAAGAAUUUGAAAAAAAAAAAACACAUUCAUAGAUUUUACUCGUAAAAUAUGUUAUAUUUUUUAAUUAUACGCAUUAAUUUCAAAUAGAAUGUGCUUUGAGAUUUUAUGACUUAUUGAAGUGAAUGUAUAUAAUUAAAUGAAAUGAAUUUUUUUGUGUGGACAACUUAACUAUCUAAUAGACGAACGAGAUCACACACAAAAAAAAAAAUUGAACUAAAAGUAUUUAGUAGGAAUACACUUUAUUUAGUUCUAAUUUAAAUAAAGUAUUCUAACAAAUUUAAGAAGAUGAUUAUGUAUUGAUAUAUUAUUGUAUUGUUACAACAAUCAUCGAUAAUUACUAUUGUUAACCAUCACUGUAUAUCACCAAUUAUAAUUUUUCGUUAUCAUUAUCAAUAUUAAUUACAUAAUUAUAAUUGUUAUUAGUUGAUUGAUGCUAUCAACUAUCACCGCCAUUAAUCAUUUUAUACCGAUAACAUUAUUCACCACUCUAGUCGAUUUUUACCACCACCACCUUUGGUUACACCAUCACUAACUAUCAUAUAAUUAUUUAUUUAUAUAAUUAAGAUUAAUUUUUUCAUAAAGAUUAUGUUUUAUACAUUUAAAUUUAGAAAAAAUGAGUUAUUUGAAUAGUAUUUAGAUUUUACUAUAAUAUUUUAAUAAUAUUAAAUUCAAUCAUCUUAAAUCUCAGAAUAUCUAAAUGUAUAUUUAAUUUCAUAUGCCUUAAUAUUAAAAGAAAAAGAGUACCUAAACAUAAUUAUAUAAGAAAUUCUUUUUGUUCGAAUUUAUGUCAAAUAUUAAUUCAUUUGAUCCUCAUACUUCAAAUCAAUCUAAAUAAAUUGAUAGAGGAGGAGCAUUUGUUUUUCUUUUGGCUAGUCAUUUUCUAGGCAUAUAAAAGAUUUAAGAAUGAAAAAAUCUAUUCAUAUUUUUGUGGCUGAGAUCUAUUUUAGAAUAAAUUAAAUUGAUUUUGGACAUUGAAAUAACUUUAUAUCAUGAAAUUGAUUUUAUUGGAAAAACUGUAAAAGUAUGAUUUUGAUGUGACAUAAUUGAAGUGCCACUAUCUGAAAAAAGAGCUUUAACUUUUUUUCAAAAAAUAAAAAUAAAAUAGAGAAAAAUUCCCAUUAUUUAGUUGAUGCUAAAGAAAAAGAAAAAGGUUUGAAAAUGAUUAUUCCAAUCUUUUCUUUUUCCUUUCUGGAUCUUUAGACAAAUAAUUUAUUAAAUUUAAUUUAUUAUUUACUUUUCUUAAUUAGUAUACAUAAAUUAUGGAAUAUGUGAUUCAACAUUUAUUAGGCAUUAAUUAUACUUAUAUUAUAUAUUUGUCGAUUAUUUUAGUCUAAGUGAUUAGGUGAAUAUGAAAAUUAAAUAUUAAGAUAGUAGAAUGUUGGUAAGUAGUUGAAUAUUGUCUACUUUUCUUACCAGUAUUAUUAUAAUUAUUAUUCUUUUACUAUUUUAAUCUUCAAUUUCAAUUAUUAAUUGUCGUCUCUUUUCUUUCUAUAAUAUUAUUAUUUGUUGUCGUUAUUGUUCUCUUUUCACUAGUAAAAUUAUUUUAAUAGUUCAUUUUGAUAUGAUUUAUUUAAGUCAAAAAUCUACCAAAAAACAUCUCUAUUUUCACAAACUAGUAAUAAAAUCGAAGUAUACAUCAUAAUUCCAUAGAUUCCAAAUGCAUUCAUGUCUAGAAUUAAUGUUCUCUAUUUUUAUUUUAUUUUAUUUUUUGAAUUUCCUGCUCUUCUUUAUUUUAUUUAGGAAAAGAAAACUAUAAACAUUAUUUGCUUCAAUUUUGGGAUAGGAAGAAUCAAAUCAUAUACCAAAUUCUGAAAGUUGUAAGAUGCUUGCAUAGUACCAAAUUCCCAUUUGAGUUAGAAUAAAGUUAUUCAAAAACUACUAUCUUUUCUCUUUCUACCAAAAAAAAAAAGUUAUUCAAAAACCUUUAUCGAAAAAAGAAGAAGAUUUUUUUUAGAUAUUAUGGAGGACCGACACUGCAAUGAAAUAGGCCCACUAAUAUGUUCAAUAUUUCUGCUAUAAUAUGAUGAGCGACUAUUUCUUCUGAAACAAAAGGAUCAAAACCUUUCAUGCCGCACCUAAAUUAAAAGGACAUAAUGAGAUUUUUCUUUUUUCAAAACUCAAAUCAUUUUUCAGAAAUCAACUAAAUUCCAAGAUAAAUAUAUACAAAAAUAAACACAAAGGUUCUCCAAAAAUAUAUUAUUUCCGAAAUUAAUCCCAAAAUAUGUAUAUGCUAUUCAGUAUUUUCACAUAUAUUUAUAUGUUUUUUUUAAUUCAAUUUUUUGCGGGCCUGAUGAGCCAUUUUAUUGAUAAUAAUCUUCAAACAUCUGACCAUUUUAUAUGUCGAGUUUAAAUAUUGAAGAAGUUUUUAAUAACAAGCAUGUAAUUUAGCUCUUUGAAGGAUUAUUUUGAUGAGGAUUUAUCAAAAAUAAUUUUAGCAAUUUUAGUGGUAGGUGGCUUGGAUAGUAGCGAAGUUCAGAUUUUCAUUUAAGGGUUCAGUAUUUGAAGCAGUGAACACAUUAAUUAGUCGAAGAAGAUUCCACAGCUACUAUAUGUACAUAAGAAAUAAUUUUAACCAUACAAAUAAUAUAUUUUUAGCCAAAAAUAUAUUUAGAUAAACCCUGGUUGCAAGUUGGCUCCGCCUUGGGCUAUGAAGUUUCUUAGGACUGGAGGUGGUGUUCCCUUGCCUUGCAAAUUGAGUUUUUUUUAAAAUGCGGUUCACAUGUUGUGUUUUGGAGGGCUUGCAUCUUAUAAAAAUGAUGAUGUUGUCAAUCGCGCUUAUUAUUUUUAAUAUAUAUAUAUAUAUAUAUUUAUAUAUAUACGCGUGUAAAAAGGCUAACUCAAUAGGUGAUAAAUUAGUUAUUUAGGUUUUCGAUAAGAGUCUCAUGUUAAAUGAUUUCGACGUUAAAAUAACACUUCUUUUCAAAGCCAACAGAUCAAAAAAGAUUGUCAAAAAGACAACUUAUAUUAAAAACGACCGUUCAAAUCAUUUCUUACGAACCCCAAAACCUUUUAACAGACAUUAUCACAUCGAUUUUCUGUAUGUUCUUUUAAAAAAAUAAAUUAAAACGAGAAACCAUUAAUUUUUUUUAAAGAUUUUUAUAUGUCAACCGAAUUUAGACAUUGCAAUCAAUAUCGUUCAUUUUCAAAAUUGUAAAGAAAUUAAAUAUCAUUUUAUCUUAGUUAAUACAAUAUUGAUAAGUAUUCAUUCGUUUACUUUACUUAUCCAAUUUAAAUUUUACACGAUCCAUAUAAAUAAUGAUUGACAUGAAUAUUUUUAUUGUAAUAUUUAUAUUAAUCAUAAUUUAAUCUUAUAUCCUUAGAUGUAAUAUCAAAAUAAGUACUCCCUCCGUCCCAUUUUAUAUGAUGUACUUUGAUUUGGUACAAACUUUAAGAAAAAUGGAAAGACUUUUAAAACUUGUGGUCCAAAAUGAAUGAUAGAAAUUUGUGUGGUUGUAAAUCAUUUCAUUAAGGGUAAAAAAGACAUUUCAUAGGCAAAUUGUUACUUAAAAUAGAAAUGUGUCAUUCUUUUUGGGACUGACUAAAAAGGAAAGUGAGUCAUAUAAAUUGGGACAGAGGGAGUAGCANNNNNNNNNNNNNNNNNNNNNNNNNNNNNNNNNNNNNNNNNNNNNNNNNNNNNNNNNNNNNNNNNNNNNNNNNNNNNNNNNNNNNNNNNNNNNNNNNNNNNNNNNNNNNNNNNNNNNNNNNNNNNNNNNNNNNNUUUAUAUGAUGUACUUUGAUUUGGCACAAACUUUAAGAAAAAUGGAAAGACUUUUAAAACUUGUGGUCCAAAAUGAAUGAUAGAAAUUUGUGUGGUUGUAAAUCAUUUCAUUAAGGGUAAAAAAGACAUUUCAUAGGCAAAUUGUUACUUAAAAUAGAAAUGUGUCAUUCUUUUUGGGACUGACUAAAAAGGAAAGUGAGUCAUAUAAAUUGGGACAGAGGGAGUAAUUAAUAUUAAACGUAAAAUAUAAAAAAAAAAUUAGAAAGAGUAUUUUCCUAUUCUUUUACAUAGUAAAAAACAAAAAGAUAUUCAUAUUGUAAUGAUUGGACAUUUGACCAACCAAAAUUUUGGCGCAAUUUUUUUUGCCGACCACCGUAACGGCGGCGGCCUGUUGACAUUCAAUUUUCGUCAAUCAAAACCCUAAAUCAAAAAAAUAUUAUUUAUAGUAAGCUUUUAAUAAUAUAGCAGUUUUUUAUUUAGUAGUUAAUUAAUAAUUAAAAUUAAUUAAUCAUUUCCAGCUAUUCUUCUUCAUCACUCCAUUAUUUUCAGACAAUUUUUUCAUACACAAAUCCACCAAAAGCUCAAUUCUUUUUACAUAUUUGUUUCUUGGGAUUUGAUCUUCUUGAUUUUUCCAGUUUUUUUGGAGGUGGGGUUGUUUUUAUCUUGCUUAAAUUUCAAUUUUUAAUCAAUUUUGAUUAUGAUUAAUUUAUAAAAAGCAUUAUGGAUUAAAAAAAUAUUUUGAUGGCUGCUGUUAUUAUAUUGAUAUUAUCAAUUUUGUUGGGUUUAUCAUCAUUAGUUACAAGGAGGGGAGCCAUCUUCAAUAAAGGUAGAAUCUUUAGUUUAUGGGUUUUUGAUAUUCUUGGAUUUUUUAUGAUUCUUGAUUUUUUUGGGGGUUUUUGUCACUAUGUUGUGUUGUGGGUCUGUAAGUUAUUGUGUGAAAUGAGUUAGAUUGGAUUUUUGUUAGUUAUAGUAAUUGUUAGGAUUGAUGAUGAUAUGAUAUGAGCUUAAAUGAAAAAAUGGGGAUUCAUAUAGCGGACUCGAACUUGUUUGAGGUUGUUGUUGUAUAGUAAUUGUGAGAAUUCCAGCUAUGUGAGGUUUGAAAAACACAGUUUACUUUCAAGUUCAAAUAAAGGAAGAUAGUUGUGGUAGGACAAAAUAUGUACACAAGAUUGAGGCAUAGUUUUUUUUUGAAUUGGGGUAGGGGAAGGGGAUUACAAGGUGGAGAAUCGAAUCAAAGCACGUAGUCAACCAACUGAAUUACUGAGAUUCCCUCGAUUGAGGCGUAGUUGAGUCUUCUGAAUAUACAGAAAAUUCGUAUAACUGAUCUCAACUAGUUUGGAAUUCAGGCCUAUUUGAUUGAGAGUGAUGAUAGGGAAUGAUUCUGUUGGGUUUUGAGUUGACUUUUGUGUUGUGGCUAAUGAUAGUAAUUUGAUGUCUUUUAUGAUGGCUCACUGUUGGACUUUCUCAGUGUUGGGGUUUAUACUUUAUUGAUAAUGAUAAUGUUUAAUAAAUAUGGUCUGCUGCUUUUUAGCUCUGGGAGAAAAUAUUUGACUAUGUGUUUCUACUUACAUUUACACUUUUGGCCUGUGGGUGGUGACAUUUGAAGGUAUACUAUGUUUCAUUCUUUGGCUAAAGAAGCAAAUAACAUGUAUUUCCACAUCAUCUAAUCUUUUCUCGUUAGCAAUCGAAGGAAGGGGCAGAGCAUGUUCUAUUUUUCCAAAUCUUUCAAGAUCCGCAUCAAAAGCUUUCUCAUCUGGGUGAUUUAGAUGAACUACGCCUUCCAUCUUUUCUUGGCAGUUAUCAUACUGAUAUGAAUUUGGCUGUCUGUGUUGUCUCUAACAUGGUGUGAAUGAUAGUUUUGCACUUCUCUAGUUUAAGUUUUAGAUGCUGUCAAUGGAUAUUGCUUGCUUGGGUGAUUAAAUGUAAGUCAUGCUAGAUUCACUAUAAACACCACUCUGAAAGGCAUAUGGUUUCUAGAGCUUUGAUCUUUGAAUUUUUUCAUUGUAUUGUUUGUUUUGUGUGGAGGGAUGUAGCCAUUUGUGUGCAAGAACUAAGAACUACCAUUAAUGUGUCUUUGCUUAUUUAAAAUGCUUUUGUUGUCGAAGGCAUUAUCUUAUUGCAUCGGAGAAAAGUUAUAAGUUCCUAACAACAUUCAAUGUGAUUUGGAAUGUUUUGGAAUUACAAUUACUUCUUUACUCAGUUUCUGCAAACAUGUUUUAUUUCUGGGAUGGUGGCAUGCCUUUCAAGUUAGUUGUAUAUAUUUGUUCAAAUCUGCUAGAAUGAAGUGUUAGUAUCUCACAAUGUCUUUAGAGUUGGUGUGUACAAUUUUAGUAGUUAAUUAAUCCUUUAGAACGUUCGUUAGAGUAAGUGUUAGAUUAGCAUCAAAUUGAUACUUCUUUGGUUAAAUACAAUACAGGUUAUGGAUUGUAUCUCCUACCUUGUUUGUUAUAUUCUAUUAUCACCAAGUCAUUAAUAUUUCUCCUCCUUUCUGUUAUUUUCUUGAAAAAACAUGAUUUGCAUCUAUUUUGCUCUUGUAGACAUAAUUGUUGAUCUGGAAAACUAACAAAAUUCCCAUAAUGUCUGCACAGUGCCUGGUUUAAUCAACCAGACUGGUUAAAGAGUUGUUGAAACAGAUGGAAAGGAAGCAGCACACACCAAGUGUUAUAGCAAGGCUGAUGAGCCUUGAUGAGCUUCCACCUCGGCAGCACCUCCCUGUUAAGAGAAGGAGAGUACUCUCUGAGAACUAUCUCCAGAAAAUGGCUUCUAUAGGUUUGCGAGAGAAGAGUUCAUUUUCUGUUGGCUUCUCCCGUGGAAUAAAUACUCAGAAGUGUCAAGUAGUUAAAGAUGUAUCUGCAGCCAAGUUGAAGAUGCGGAAAUAUACUAAUUCGAGUGUUACUUUAAUAAAGGAGAAACAUUCUAAUCUUAUGGACUCCGAAGGCAUCUCAGAAAGUUUACUUUCAACCAAGCAUUUGCGUGAUCUACAGGCUUAUAAACCCUAUUGCCAUCCGGUUCACUCAGCUGUCGCUAAGACACUAUGCAAGAUGUCUGCUAGGACUACCGCUAAAGAAAAGACUUCGAAAUCUCUUCAGACACUUGAGAUUGGUACACCUAAGGAUGAUGUUGGAGACUGUUCUAUUCAUCACUUGAAGAAAAUAAACUUUCAGCUUGAUCCAAAUGAAAACAUGCCUCAUCCGUCUACAAGAGUUAUUGUGGUCAAACCUAGUUCUGGAAAGUAUCAUAAAACCAAACAUCAGUCUGUUUCUCGUAGGCAUGGCUUGGAGUCCGAUCCCGUUGAUUUGAAGUACAAGAAAUUCACAGAACAUGAAAAUGGGGCAGUACAUAAUAAGAGACCAGGAAGAGCAGAAAGCAUCAGUGACACUUUUCUGAAGGCCGAGGCUCUAAAGCUGCCUUCUUCAAAAUUAUUUAGUAAACAAAGAAAAGAUAAUACACUAAAUUUCUUUUCAAAGAGGUCAUCUUUUUCCAAAGAAGUUAAGAAGCAAACCAUUGAAAAGUGGAAGCUGAUGAAUGAUCUUUCAGAAGUUGAAACAACUUCUAGAAGCCAAAAUCUUGGAGAAAUGCUUGCUACAGAUGACUUAGAAACUAAGCCUCAAUUUUUGGACUCCAAGCGUGACUCACAAAGUUUUUGCAGUUCAUUCAGUGUGAACACUCAGAUCUCAGGCUCAUGCAGCAAGGAUUCGUUAAUUCCAAAUCAUUCUGCUGGUUCUAUGAUAGCCUCUGGAAGUCCUGAAGGUAUGAUUGGCCAUAAAGCUUCUCUAUAUGGCUGGCAUCUGAGGCAGAAAGUAGCUGUUACUGAGAAACAUUCCAAGUCUAUGAACCAAAAACAGAAAGAUAAUAUGGAAUAUAGAGACUUGAACUUGAAGGAAACCGAUCAGCGCAGUCCAAAUUCAGUUCUGGAGCCACCGUUCCAGGAAGAGAAACCCUGUACCUCUGCAUUCCACGGCUUAUGUAGUAAGUAAACACAAAGCUUUGUUAACUAUUUCUCAACAGAUUUCAUCCAAUCUCAUUUUUGUUCUUCUGAACUUGUAAGGUGUAGCACGGCAACUUCAGCUUCUUGAGACCAACUCUGAGGAAACAUAUUCAGAAGGAUCUGAAAUGGGUGUCUCAACUGAUGGAGACUCCGAGACAGGGUCUCUGGAUCUCCUUCAAGAUAGUGAAAACAUAUUGAAAGACUUCAAAACCGCAGAUGGCAGGGACUUCUCCUAUCUGGUUGAUGUUUUAGAUGAAGCCAGCUUGCACGGCAUGAACCUAGGAAUGUGUUUUGAGACAUGGCAUUCUUUGGAAUGUCCCGUGAAUCCCUCAGUGUUUGACUUGUUAGAGAAGAAAUACGGGAAACAAAUAUCUUGGCUACAAUCAGAGAGGAAACUUCUGUUUGACCACAUAAAUUCAGGGCUAAGUGAAAUUUUGCAUUCAUUUCUGGAGAUCUACAUAAUAGAAAAAUCUUUAAAAAGAAGGUGCUGUUCUACUAUGAGGAGAACUGAUAUUGAAGAAGAGUUGUGGAGGAUGCUGGUUAGUCAUGAAAAUGAAAUACGCAAGGACUUGUCUGGGAAGGCAAUUGGAAAUGAGACCAAAUGGUUGCAGGUCGAGGAGGAAAUUGGUAGCAUAUGCAGAGAAAUAGAGAAAUAUUUGUUGGAUGAGCUAGUUGCAGAAUUAGCUUUGCAUUGAGAGCGUAUAAAAUGGGAUUUUGACCGCUAAGUUUUCCUACUACUUCCCUCCUCAAGUUACUGGGAAUAGAUAUAGUUUUUUUUCAACAGCAAUUUCGAUCUGAAAGUAUAGGAUGUUGUGUAGAAAAUCUGAAAGAUGUGGCACUAUUUAUUCUUAUAUUCAUUCAAACAUGGUGUGCAAUUCUUGAAGGAUUAUUUUUUCUAUAGAAUAUCACCAUGCUUGUGCAUGAAGAUAGAUGUCAAAAGAUUUGGUGUAAAGAACUAAAUAUCAAUACUAUUGAUCUAUUUUUGAAGGAAGAGCGCCAGAAGUUGAAAAGGAGUUAUCGUUGAGCAGGUGUUUGUGCUAUUAAUUCUUGCUUUCAAUUUACUAUUAAGGGCAUCUUUCUUUAAAUAAUGCUACAAACUACUUUUCCCUUGUGCCUGUUUUUCCUUCUACAGCUGUAUUGGUGGAAAAAGUUUCCAGGUAGAAGAUUUUGGUAGGUCUUUCAUUUAAUUAGAUAUCUUUUCAUAUACACUUUAGUGUUUCAUGAUGUGUGAUGGAAAAAUGAAACUCCCAAGUUGGAUACACCUUUUUGUACUUAGUAAAAUAGGUCUGAUAUAGAUCAUAAUAUCACCAGUACAUUUAACCAUUCAAUUACAUGCUUCAAAGUACGAAAUAUAAAGAUUCAGAAAUAUAGCAAACAUGUUGAAUUAAUAUCUAGGGGGCAUGCUGUUUAAGGGGUGAUGUAGACAGUAAAGUGGGUAAUUGUCUCCAGUCCAUCAGUUGUAUGUUGGUCCACGUGAGGAAGAGUUUCAAUGGUGGCAAAUCCUUUAGCAUUCUCAUACUUGCCAGUCCCUCCUAUGAUGGCAAUGUGAGAAAUUGGUGUGGCUGUCCUGUGAAUUCCGAAGAAACUAAUAGUAUCAUCAACUUCGUGAUUAUGUUCUCCGUGGAAAAGUGUUGUCAAGGCUAAAGUGUGGCUGGUGCCAUCUGAAGAGCUUGUCAGGUAAAAUCCUUGUGCCCUCCCAAGAACAGCUGAUCCCAGCUCAUGCCCCUCUGUUAAUUCAUUGUCAACGACAGUAAUAGAGCCAAACAUGAGCUGCUGAAGCGAUAAUCCAGAAGGAAGCUGUCCGGCUGUUACAAAAGGUUGGUUGUUAUCACCACUAACUACAUCGUUGUUUCCACUGUUUUGCAGGACAGUGUUAGCUUGUUGCUGACCGUUAAGGCCUGCAAGGAAUGGAUAAUUGUUGUUAUUGACGAUGUUGUUAAUGUUGUUCAAAGAAACUCCUCCAUUGAUUGGGAAGAUUUGAUUGUUGAGCUUGGAGAAAGGCAGAUUGUUGGCAUCGGAAGUGGCUACAAUUCCAGUGACCACUCUUCCUGAAGGAAGCGAACCACCAAGGAUGUCAUGCAUGAAAAAGGAGAACGUGGGGUGCUCAAGGAUGGGACUUUCUACUUUGGCGCCUGAGGUAGCAGCUGAUGUGGUCCCACCUGGGGCUGCAGUGUCCUCUCCUGGUGUUUUGGUGACAGGGGUAGUUACUGGUGCUGCAUCAGCGACAGGGGCUGCUCCAUUAUCUGUUAAGUCAGCAGGAGGAGUCGCUGAUGCAGCAGGGGCGAUGACAGGGACUGAAUCUGGUUCAGGGUCAGCUGGUAAAUCUGCUGGAGGAGCCACUGUGUCUGCAGGGAUGGAAGGAUCAGCUACUGGUGCCACAUCAGAAUCAGGAGCGGUGACAGUAGCUGGUAAUUGGUUACUCGGCAAUGUGGUAGCUGGGGCAACCACAGGAGCCACAACAGGCUCAUCUAUUUCUGAUGACGCAUCUGCCACUUGGCUCACUUCAUCAAGGAUUCUUGCUGAACUGGCACAGUCAAAGGUGAGGACUAGCAGAAAAAUGCACAACGUGGCUUGGAGUGUUUUCGAGGUGAGUUGGGAAACUGUCGCCAUCUUUUCUUGAAAACGGUGCUAGAGUGAGAUAUAGAAGGCAAAUGAAGUUGAGUAGAUGGUUAAUUGAUGAGGAAAGACUGGAGCCUCAAUGGUUAUAUAUAGCUUUAUUACAUCCUAAUAAAAAGUGGAGCUGAUAAGGUGGUUUUGGUAAGUAGUGAUAAAUAUGCCUGUUUUUUCUUGUUUUGUUGCAGAACACCAAAUCCACUUGGACAUCAGGUUUGGUUGAACCAACUCUGAAUUUAUUUUUUUCUGAUUAACUAGACAGUUAUCUCUUUAUUUAAUAACCGCGGUGUCCGGGCCAGCUUUCGUAGACUUCGACUAAUUCCACGGGAUACCUGCCACCUCCCACCAACUACAUGUACCAGUUAACUUAGGACAGAUGUUCAUGUGCAGAUAUACUAUGGACUUCACAGAAGCUUUCAUCUUUUCAACAUCUACAGGCAGAGUUGCCAUGUCUCUAUCUUCCUGUUUUUCCGAGCUUAAGAAAAAUUCAUAAUUGCUAGCGGCAGAAUGCAACUUAAGUUUCCUUCAUAGAUGAUAAAAUAUUAAAAUUUAUCAGUAAAUCUUGUUGAAGGCAGAAAAAUUCUCUGUGAAUUUCACACAAUUCUGAAAGAAAUGAGUUCCUAAACCUCAGAAUUCUCCUUAAGUUUCCUAAACCCGAUAUUUAGUUUAAAAUUUGAAGGAAAUUAAGUUGUUUUCUCAUAAAUAGCACAUCUUCAAGAAUCCUCAUAUAUGUAUUAUCUAUUCGUCCUCCAGCAUUGUUUGUAUUUCUUCUUUCAGGCCUUUGCAGCUUAUUCCGUGCUCCUUAAUUGGUCUGUUAACUGUUAACUUUACGAAUUUAGUCAGCCGAUUUAGCAAUACUAUGUCUGCCCCUACACUUUCCUUUGAAUCUGCGCGGAGAAAGCAGUUUUGCCUAUGCAUGACUACAAUUUGAUUUGCUUGUCUAGUAAAAUGUUUGUAGUCAGAAUUUUUUUAUGUGAGUUUCAAUAUAACUUUGCUACUGUUUAAGAUCUGUGCAUUUUUCUGAUGAAACACACUUAGAAAAAGUUCAUGGUGACACUAAUUGUAGUUUAUGUUAUGUAGCAUCUCCCUUUGUAUUGACAGAAACCAAAAGUUCCACACAAAAUCUUCACCCUUAAAACAAAUAUAAAAAUCUUGAACAAUCAAGAAUUACAAUAGAGAAAGAAAUUGUGAAUUACAGCUCAAUGAUUACUCUAGCAAGUUACUAACUUUAACCAAGAUAAACAUUGAAUGAAAGAAUCUUAUAUGCUUCUUCAUUUUUGUUAGAUGUUACAUUGACAAUCUUGACAGUAGCAUAGCCAUUUGCAUCAUGAUACUUUCCGGUACCUCCUAUUACUGCUAUAUGUGAUUCAAAAACAUCGCCCCUAUGCACCCCGAAAAACCUUAGACUAUCUUCAUACUCAUUACCAAGAAAAGUAGUAGUCAUCGCCAUCAUAUGACUGCUACCGUCUUCUGAACUUGCUACAUACAUUCCUUGAGCUUUUCCCUUCAAAGAUGAACCGUAAAUGGAACCUUUGUAUAUGUCCUCAUCGAUUGUUAUCACUGUCCCUAGUUCUAAUUCUUGAAGUGUGGCUAUAGCUGGGAAUGUCAUGCUGAUCCCUUCCAAAUCAAGCGUGUGAGUAUGCAAUCCGUUCAUUCCAACAUUUGGGUUUGUGUCGGUCAAGGGAAUGCCUCCUACUGGAGGGAAAUAGCCUAAUGGUUUCGAGAAGGGAAUUUGAUGAUGACUAUUUACUCUUGUUGAUGCAGGUCUUGAUGAAGGGUGUUUUAGACUAAGAACAUCUAGCAUGUAAAAGGACGUUUCAUGGCGUUCAUGAUGAUGAUUGUUCGUCGAGGAAGGAUUGUUAUUCAGAGUUCUAGCUGAAAAUGAUUGAUUGCUCAAUGUCAAGAAGAACAAGAACCAAGAAAUGACUAGUUUGGAAGGAGACUUUAGCAUCUUGAUUGUUUGUAGAAGAUAUUUCAAUAGGUUCUUUGAGAACUAAGUGAAAAAAGGGGAAAUCUCCAAUAAUACUUUAACUUUUGAAGUGGAGUAGUUAAUGUAUUAAUGAAGUAGUUAACAUUGUUAUGUUAGUUGACUUCUAAGGUCCUAAGGACCAUUAUUUCCUAUCAAGAAAGUAUAAAGGAAAAAAAAAUACUUCUCGUUUUAAUUUAUUUGUUUGAUUUUGACUGAUUUUCAAAUCUCGUGAUUUUAAACUAAAAAUAUGUAGAAUAUACUAAAAUGCCCUUUGAUUUUGUGAUCUUAAUAGGUCUCAGAGGUAGAAAUUCCUUGUAGAUAAUGAAGAAAGUCCUAAAUCCAACUAACAGUCAUCUUGGCCCACAAAAAGCGAUAUUUCAAGGCCGGACUCUUUAUUUGCUCUAAGUCAAUAUUUUAACGAGCAAUUUUACUUUCAACAAUAACAACAACAUACUAAGUGAAAUCCCACAAGUGGGGUAUGAGGAGAGUAGAGUGUAUUCAGACCUUAUCACUACCUUGUGAAGAUAGAAAGGUUGUUUCCGAAAGAUCCUCAGCUCAAGUGUAUCAAACUUAGGUAAAAGAAGAAGAAAACGAUGGAGAAAGCAUAGUGAUCAAAAAUAAUAGUGUAAAAUGCCCCUAAAUAUGUUGGAGUCCGUAGUCAAAGGACAACUUUUUUUCUUCAAAAAACAUAAACGGCAUAUCUUUCUUUUUUUAAAUCCAAAAGGGCCAAGUUGCUCCUGAGAAAGCGAUAUCCUUUGCACAUAAUUAACUCAGUUGACUCCGUUAAAAAAAAUACAAUUAAAAUUGCUUCCCCAACUGCAAUUUUAUCAAAAAAAUAAAUGAAAUUAAAAGGGCAGCGAUUUUUUCAAUUUUUUUAAAAUUAUUUGUUGGUUCCCAAUCAAAAUACUAAUAACUGGUUGUUGGUUCUUAUAUCCAUAAAAAACUUUGUUACUCAUCAAAUAAUUCUCAAAAAUCCUCAAAUAUUCACAUUCGACAUCAAAUUUUAUGUGUUUUACCAUUGACUAAAAAUAUUUACCAUCGCUAGCUAAUAUAAAUAACAUUAUACCUUAACUAUACCCUUAUUAUAAAUACGUCGAACGACUAUUUAAGUUAAUUUUUCAAAUAUAUAAAAACACUCCCACACAUGUGAUCAGGAGAAAACAAAUCCAAAUUCUAAUUAAAAUAGGGAAGUGGUCGUUGGUUCUCAUAAUUAUAAAAAUAAAACCUUUGUUCCUCUCAUCAAACAAAAUUCUAAAAAUCCAACAUCAAAUUCUAUUUUUUUUCCUUUUUCUAUUCUUUGGUCUCUUGGGAUAAAUUGUCGAGAAUCUAUCAAAAACAACCUCUCUAUUAAGGUUUAUGUCCAAACUCCACUUGUGAUAUUAUACGAGGUAUAUUGUUGUUGGUCUCUUGGUUUAAUUGUUGAGAAUAUAUCUAUUAAAGUAUGUGUACACAUUAUCGGUUCAGACUCUGCUUGUGGGAUUAAAAUGAAAAUUUUGAUAAUUCAUAUUUUACAAGUUAAUUAUGGGUUUCUAAUGGAUUGAGAUUGUGAUUACAUGGAUGGAGCUCGAAUCCUCUUCGUUGAAAAAUUACACCAUACUUGCAUAAACAAGGUUUAAAUUAUUUUAUAUGUAUAUAUAGCAGAUAUUGAAUCCUCCUAGCCUCUUUUUAUGUUUACUUGUUUAUAUUUCGAAUCUCGUGGUUAUAACUUGAGUCAUAAAUAUGGAGUCGCCUUUGGCAGGGAGAGGUUUUGCGUAGGACUUUUCGGCGCAAAUCCAGAUUAGUCGAGUCCCAAAGUAGAUAGCGAACACUGGGUGGAAAACUAAUUUUUUUAAAAUAAGAAUGUGUGUAAGGCUGCUUUAUAUCUUGGUUAUUAAUGUAUACCCCUUGAUGUAUGUGAAAAAGGUGACUAAUUUAACAAAAAAAUUCAAAACAAACUGUUCUAGUCCAACCUAAGGUAAAUUGAGGAUAGGUGUAACAGUUAUUCCGAGGGUCUAUCAGAAACAGUCUCUCUACCUCCGAAUGUAGGGGUAAAGUCUGCGUACACUCUACCCUUCCCAGACCCCAUUUUGCAGGACUACACUGAGUAUGUUGUUGUUGGUCUAAGAUUUGCUUUGACAAACAUUCAACAUCUCAAAGUAUGUUUUCAACUUGUGUUUAAGUUCCCUCUUUUCUUUUAUUUUUUUGCAAAUGAUCAGAAGGCAGAAUGGCGAUGACAGAUAACAUACACAAGAUUCAGAAUCACAUAUCUAUUGAGGAUGCUGCAAGAAUGAGUGUUUUGUCCCGAACGUGGAGAUAUAUUUUGUAGGUGUCUAGAUGAUCAUUUUGUAAGUUGGAGUGUUUUCAUUGUCAACUUGUAGUAUAGAGGAUCCUUUAUUUUGGUUCUUGUGGCGUUUUGCUAGCAUCACUUGAAGGAUUUUGCGUUGUUUAUAUAACUAAAUAUGUACACUAAUAGUUUGUUUUUGUAAUGCAGAGAACCAGAUAUAGUAAAUAAGUUGAAUCCCCUUGUUUUUCUUGGUGUGUUUACCUUUUAUGUGUUGACAGUUGACACCUCUUAGUGAAAAUACUGGCUCUACUAUUGAUUGUUACCGCCAUUAGCUACAAAACUGUUUUGAAGGAUAGUGUUAGCUUGUUGCAGAUAAUACAUAGUCACCUCAAUGAAACUUUAUAAUUUAGAACAUGGAACUUUCUAUAUUCAUAUAUAAAAGGUCUCAUUGAUUUCAAAAAAUGUAAUUCAAAUAUAACUAACAAUUGGUUAAAAUAAACUCGAUUCUUAUUUGUUUUGUCACUCUCCUUGGUUGGCAUCUAUUUCUGUCCUCACACUUAGUAUAAUAUUAAUAUGAUGAAAAAAAUUCAUCUUAAUAUAUUGGGCGAAGUUGAUAUAAUAUAACUCUCGAAAAACGAAAUGUGAUAAAUAGAAAUGAAUGAGCGGAAUAUGAUUAAUUAAAAGAUAAAUUAAGCAAGCACAUAGUCUACUUUAAUUAAUACUCUUUGUAUUUUAAUUUACAUGUCAUAGUUUGAAAUAAAAAAUCAAACUUUUAAAUUUUAACCUUAAAAUUGGUACAUGAAAUCUUUAGGUUCUUAAAAUUAAGUAAUUGUUUGAUCAUAAAUUUCAAAUAUUUUUCACUUUAUAAAAUUUAUGGAGUUGAAGUUAAAGAUGUAGUUAUUUUUGGUUAUAUUUUUUACAAAAGAUAUUUAUAAGUGAAAUGUGGGUAAGUAUCACUUAGAAAAUACUUUAUUCGUUCAUUUUUACUUGUCACAUUUUAUUUUAGUACGAGCAUCAAUUUGACUAAUUUUCGAAGCUAAACUGAACUAGAUUGAUUCAAUAUUUAAAAUCUAAUAUUUAGAUAUUUAAAAAAUAUACAAAAAAACAUCAUAAGUGGCAAUCCUUCUCAUAUUAAUACGAUGAAAAAAUUUAAAUUGAAGGUACAAACAAAACUUCAAAUUCAUAUCAAUCUAAUUUCAAAUCAUAAUUUUAUAUCGCUAUAGCAUGUCAAAGGAAUAAGUACUUCAUAUCAUUUUUUGCUAGAAAAAAAAAUCUAAAGCUAUAUGCAGAACAUUUCAUGAAGAACUUCUACACAAACAGUUACUAGAAGACACGAGCUUUGACUCUCACCAAACUAGAUGGUAGAAUGCUCAAAGCAAACAGACCUUGUAGGCAUGUUAGUUACCUCUAAUUAGGGGUCGCGGGAUCCCAAUCAUCUCACCAUACCCCUCGAUGGUAACGUAUAGAUAAUCCACUCACACCAUAGUGCGUAAGACAAGAAAUGAACAGCUCCAUCGAGCAAUUACUUCCGCAGAGAGUAAAUACAUCAUUGCAUAUCACUGUUUCCUAGCAAGUGAAUCUAAUACUAUAUGCAGAACAUUUCACUAACUUGUACACAGAUAGCUACUACAAGAUGCAAGCUUUAUCCCUCACCAACCUAGAUGGUGGAAGGCUCAAGCCAAACAGACAUAAUCGGCAUGUUAGUUGCCUCCUGGAUUCCGAUUCCACGACAAGUAAGUUGGAUCUCCAAGUUACCUUGGCUUAAACUAGAUACACAAUCAUGAAAACCAUUGCCAGAAAGAAACACAAUCCACCAGCAGUAAGAUAAGACCAAUCCAACUAGUUGUAGAAAGCACAAGCUUCUUCUUGCCAUCAAAACUAUAAGGUCAGGUUUAUAAUCUACUUGCACCACAGUACGUAAGACGAGAAUGACGACACUUAUCAAAGGAUAAGUACUUCAUUACAUAUCAUUAUUUCCUAGCAAAUGAGUCUAAAGUUAUAUGCAGAACAUUUCAUAAAGAACUUGUACACAAACAGUUACUAGAAGACACAAGACUCGUGUCUCACCAAACUAGAUGGUAGAAUGCUCAAGCAAACAGACUUCAUGGGCAUGCUUGUUACAACCUGUUUCCGGUUCCACGACAAAUAAGUUGGCUUAACUAGAUACACAAUUAUGAAAGCCAUAGCAAGAAAGAAACACAAUUACCAACUUUUAGAUAAGCAAUACCAAAGAAAAUCGUUCUUUCCACCAAUCCAGCUAGUUGUAGAAAGCACAAGGUUCUUCUUUCCAUCGAAACUAUACAUAUCAUAAAUGCUUUGCAAUAUCACAUUUAUAAUCUACUGGCAUCAUUCAAGUCUUUUAAGCAAUUACUUCGAUUGUACAUACAUAAUUUUGAAUAAACACUUAUCAAAGGGAAAAUACUUCAUUACAUAUCAUUGUUUCCUAGCAAAUGAGUUUAAAAGUAUAUGCAGAACAUUUCAAAAAAAAGAACCUGUAGACAGAUAGCUGCUACAAGACACAAGCUUUGUCAACAUCAACCUUAGAUGGUAAAACGCUCGAGCCAACAGACUUCACGUGCAUGCUAGUUACCUCCUGGGUUCCGGUUCCAUGACAAAUAUGUUGGAUCUCCAAGCUGCCUUGGCUUAACUAGAUAUACGACAGUGAAAGCCAUAGCCAAAAAGAAACACAAUCCACCUACAGUAAGAUAAGCAAUACCAAGAAAAUCAUUCUUUCCACCAAUCCAGCUAGUUGUAGAAAGCACAAGGUUCUUCUUUCCAUCGAAACUAUACAUAUCAUAAAUGCUUUGCAAUAUCACAUUUAUAAUCUACUGGCAUCAUUCAAGUCUUUUAAGCAAUUACUUCGAUUGUACAUACAUAAUUUUGAAUAAACACUUAUCAAAGGGAAAAUACUUCAUUACAUAUCAUUGUUUCCUAGCAAAUGAGUUUAAAAGUAUAUGCAGAACAUUUCAAAAAAAAGAACCUGUAGACAGAUAGCUGCUACAAGACACAAGCUUUGUCAACAUCAACCUUAGAUGGUAAAACGCUCGAGCCAACAGACUUCACGUGCAUGCUAGUUACCUCCUGGGUUCCGGUUCCAUGACAAAUAUGUUGGAUCUCCAAGCUGCCUUGGCUUAACUAGAUAUACGACAGUGAAAGCCAUAGCCAAAAAGAAACACAAUCCACCUACAGUA